CCUACGGGAGACAGCAGUGAGGAAUAUUGGUCAAUGGACGAGAGUCUGAACCAGCCAAGUAGCGUGAAGGAUGACUGCCCUAUGGGUUGUAAACUUCUUUUAUAAAGGAAUAAAACGAGGCACGUGUGCCUUUUUGCAUGUACUUUAUGAAUAAGGAUCGGCUAACUCCGUGCCAGCAGCCGCGGUAAUACGGAGGAUCCGAGCGUUAUCCGGAUUUAGUGGGUUUAAAGGGAGCGUAGAUGGGUUGUUAAGUCAGUUGUGAAAGUUUGCGGCUCAACCGUAAAAUUGCAAUUGAUACUGGCAGUCUUGAGUACAGUUGAGGUAGGCGGAAUUCGUGGUGUAGCGGUGAAAUGCUUAGAUAUCACGAAGAACCCCGAUUGCGAAGGCAGCUUACUAAACUGUGACUGACAUUGAUGCUCGAAAGUGUGGGUAUCAAACAGGAUUAGAUACCCUUGUAGUC
rnacentral:rRNA from 1 species